ensembl:lncRNA
GGGGACAGAAGAAAGGGAGGGAGAGGAGAGGAACAGGUCGAGAGGGACAGAAGAAAGGGAGGGAGAGGAGAGGAACAUGUCGAGGGGGACAGAAGAAAGGGAGGGGGAGGAGAGGAACAUGUCGAGGGGGACAGAAGAAAGGGAGGGGGAGGAGAGGAACAGGUCGAGAGGGACAGAAGAAAGGGAGGAGAGGAGAGGAACAGGUCGAGGGGGACAGAAGAAAGGGAGGGAGAAGAAGAGGUCGAGGGGGACAGAAGAAAGUGAGGGAGAGGAACAGGUCGAGGGGGGCAGAAGAAAGGGAGGGAGAGGAACAGGUUGAGGGGGACAGAAGAAAGGGAGGAAGAGGAACAGGUCAAGGGGGACAGAAGAAAGGGAGGGAGAGGAACAGGUCGAGGGGGACUGAAGAAAGGGAGGAAGAGGAACAGGUCGAGGGGGACAGAAGAAAGGGAGGGAGAGGAGAGGAACAGGUCGAGAGGGACAGAAGAAAGGGAAGGAGAGGAGAGGAACAGGUCGAGGGGGACAGAAGAAAGGGAGGGAGAGGAGAGG